GACGAACGCUGGCGGCGUGCUUAACACAUGCAAGUCGAACGAUGAACCCGGAGCUUGCUCCGGUGGAUUAGUGGCGAACGGGUGAGUAACACGUGAGUAACCUGCCCUUGACUCUGGGAUAACUGCGGGAAACUGUAGCUAAUACCGGAUACGACCCUCGGCGGCAUCGCCAGGGGGUGGAAAGAAUUUCGGUCAAGGAUGGACUCGCGGCCUAUCAGCUAGUUGGUGAGGUAACGGCUCACCAAGGCGACGACGGGUAGCCGGCCUGGGAGGGGGCCCGGCAACACGGGGACUGAGACAGGGCCAAGACUCAGACGGGAGGCAGCGGGGGGGAAUGUGGUAAAAUGGGCGAAAGCCUGAUGCAGCAACGCCGCGUGGGGGGGGAAGGCCUUGGGGUUGUAAACCUCUUUUAGCAGGGAAGAGGCGAAAGUGACGGUACCUGAAGAAAAAGCACCGGCUAACUACGUGCCAGCCGCCGCCGUAA
rnacentral:rRNA from 1 species